UGCGGGGGGGGCAAGCGUUGUUCGGAAUUACUGGGCGUAAAGGGCUCGUAGGCGGCCCUCUCAGUCGGAUGUGAAAUCCCCAGGCUUAACCUGGGAACGGCGUCCGAUACUGGAGGGCUUGAAUUCGGGAGAGGGAUGCAGAAUUCCAGGUGUAGCGGUGAAAUGCGUAGAUAUCUGGAGGAACACCGGUGGCGAAGGCGACAUCCUGGACCGGCAUUGACGCUGAGGCGCGAAAGCCAGGGGAGCAAACGGG
rnacentral:rRNA from 1 species